UUAUUAAAAAAGGCUGGGUUGUACUUGCGAGCCCUCCAGCAUUACUCAGAGUUGCCUGAUAUCAAGCGUGCCAUUGUAAAUACCCAUGUCAUUGAACCACAGACACUUGUUGAGUUCUUUGGAACAUUG